GCUAACAUGCAAGUCGAACGCCCUAGCAAUAGGGAGUGGCGCACGGGUGAGUAACAUGUGGGAAUAUGCCUUUUGGUACGGAACAACGUUUGGAAACGAACGCUAAUACCGUAUGGUCCCUUCGGGGUAAAGAUUUAUCGCCAAAAGAUUAGCCCGCACUAGAUUAGCUAGUUGGUAAGGUAAUGGCUUACCAAGGCGACGAUCUAUAGCUGUUCUGAGAGGAAGAUCAGCCACACUGGGACUGAGACACGGCCCAGACUCCUACGGGAGGCAGCAGUUAGGAAUAUUGGACAAUGGGCGCAAGCCUGAUCCAGCCAUGCCGCGUGAGUGAUGAAGGCCUUCGGGUUGUAAAGCUCUUUAGCCGACGAAUAUAAUGACUGUAGUCGGAGAAUAAGCCCCGGCUAACUUCGUGCCAGCAGCCGCGGUAAUACGAAGGGGGCGAGCGUUAUUCGGAAUCACUGGGCGUAAAGCGUGCGUAGGCUGUUUUGUAAGUCAGAAGUGAAAGCCCAGGGCUUAACCCUGGAAUUGCUUUUGAAACUACAAGACUCGAAUUCGGGAGAGGAUAGCGGAAUUGUCAGUGUAGCAGUGAAAUGCGUAGAUAUUGACAGGAACACCAGUGGCGAAAGCGGCUAUCUGGACCGACAUUGACGCUGAGGCACGAAAGCGUGGGGAGCAAACAGGAUUAGAUACCCUGGUAGUCCACGCCGUAAACGAUGUGAGUUUGUCGCUGGGAAGCUUAGCUUUUCGGUGACGUAGUUAACGCGUUAAACUCACCGCCUGGGAAGUACGGCCGCAAGGCUAAAACUCAAAGGAAUUGACGGGGACCCGCACAAGCGGUGGAGUAUGUGGUUUAAUUCGUCGCAACGCGAAGAACCUUACCAGGCCUUGACAUACCGAUUACAGGGAUCAGAGAUGAACCCUUUCAGUUCGGCUGGAUCG
rnacentral:rRNA from 1 species